rnacentral:rRNA from 1 species
CGCCUCGUGAAUUCAUCUCCGGGGGUAGAGCACUGUUUCGGCUAGGGGGCCAUCCCGGCUUACCAACCCGAUGCAAACUGCGAAUACCGGAGAAUGUUAUCACGGGAGACACACGGCGGGUGCUAACGUCCGUCGUGAAGAGGGAAACAACCCAGACCGCCAGCUAAGGUCCCAAAGUCAUGGUUAAGUGGGAAACGAUGUGGGAAGGCCCAGACAGCCAGGAUGUUGGCUUAGAAGCAGCCAUCAUUUAAAGAAAGCGUAAUAGCUCACUGGUCGAGUCGGCCUGCGCGGAAGAUGUAACGGGGCUAAACCAUGCACCGAAGCUGCGGCAGCGAACGUAUCACUUAAAGCGAUUCAGCGGGUUACGAUUGACGGAGCGAAGCGACGUCAAAGCGUAUACAAAGUCGAGUCGGUUUAAGGAUACGUUCGUUGGGUAGGGGAGCGUUCUGUAAGCCUGUGAAGGUGGCCUGUGAGGGUUGCUGGAGGUAUCAGAAGUGCGAAUGCUGACAUAAGUAACGAUAAAGCGGGUGAAAAGCCCGCUCGCCGGAAGACCAAGGGUUCCUGUCCAACGUUAAUCGGGGCAGGGUGAGUCGACCCCUAAGGCGAGGCCGAAAGGCGUAGUCGAUGGGAAACGGGUUAAUAUUCCCGUACUUGGUGUUACUGCGAAGGGGGGACGGAGAAGGCUAUGUUGGCCGGGCGACGGUUGUCCCGGUUUAAGCGUGUAGGUGUGUGUUCCAGGUAAAUCCGGUUCACUUUAACACUGAGGCGUGACGACGAGGCACUACGGUGCUGAAGCAACAAAUGCCCUGCUUCCAGGAAAAGCCUCUAAGCAUCAGGUAACAUCAAAUCGUACCCCAAACCGACACAGGUGGUCAGGUAGAGAAUACCAAGGCGCUUGAGAGAACUCGGGUGAAGGAACUAGGCAAAAUGGUGCCGUAACUUCGGGAGAAGGCACGCUGACACGUAGGUGAAGUGAUUUACUCAUGGAGCUGAAGUCAGUCGAAGAUACCAGCUGGCUGCAACUGUUUAUUAAAAACACAGCACUGUGCAAACACGAAAGUGGACGUAUACGGUGUGACGCCUGCCCGGUGCCGGAAGGUUAAUUGAUGGGGUCAGCGCAAGCGAAGCUCCUGAUCGAAGCCCCGGUAAACGGCGGCCGUAACUAUAACGGUCCUAAGGUAGCGAAAUUCCUUGUCGGGUAAGUUCCGACCUGCACGAAUGGCGUAAUGAUGGCCAGGCUGUCUCCACCCGAGACUCAGUGAAAUUGAACUCGCUGUG